CAGUAGCCGCGGUAAUACGUAGGUGGCAAGCGUUGUCCGGAAUUAUUGGGCGUAAAGGGCUCGCAGGCGGUUUCUUAAGUCUGAUGUGAAAGCCCCCGGCUCAACCGGGGAGGGUCAUUGGAAACUGGGAAACUUGAGUGCAGAAGAGGAGGGUGGAAUUCCACGUGUAGCGGUGAAAUGCGUAGAGAUGUGGAGGAACACCAGUGGCGAAGGCGACCCUCUGGUCUGUAACUGACGCUGAGGAGCGAAAGCGUGGGGAGCGAACAGGAUUAGAUACCCCAGUAGUCCCUGUCUCUUAUAC
rnacentral:rRNA from 1 species